rnacentral:lncRNA from 1 species
CUUCGAUGACGGCGAUGCCACCGACGACUGCGGAUACCCGGAUUUCUCGGCCAGAUUCUCCGCUCCUGGGCAGUCUUGAAACCUGUGUAUCUGUUUACCAUUAUUCUUUUCUAUUGAGCUGUAAUUAUAUUGUCUAUAAUUAGAAUUGAAGUUUGAUGAACAUGCAUGAAUCUCCAAUACUCAUUCUUUGAAUUGGGUUGUUGUCAAAGUGACUGAUUUGUUAUUCGUGGCUCUAAAAUUCGGAAAUAUCACCUUAAAAGUACACAAUAAUUACCUUUGGCAAUUUCUCUUUAAGAAUGGAAACCUUACCCAAUUAUAAUUAUUAUCCAAGUAGCUAAUUAAUCUCACCUAAAAUUAAAAUCAUGAGCUGUGUUGAUUAGGAUUUAGGAAACGCGUAUCAAUAUAAUUUUAGUGAUGAAAAAAAUAGCUGGAAAAGCAAAGAGAUGGAAUAUAUAAAUUGUCAAUAUCUUUUGGGUUAUCUAAUUAAUAGAAUAUAUGUACAGUUAGUUCAUCGGCCAGGACAGCCAAUAAGGAAACAAAAUAUGAGCAGUNCUAGCUCCCACAACAAUGGCUGUAAAUCCACAGCAAGAUCAAGCUGCUGCAUCCUUCGUCCCCAGUUCCCGACCACACGAUCACCUUCCCUCCAAAGACUACGACGUCGUCGACGGUCUAGAUGACGAACUCGGUGUCCCCUUCUCCCCCUCCUUCUGUCUCUGCUUCCCAGCCCACUGCUUCAGCCGCCGACGAACCACCAAAGCCGGCUCCCGUACUUAUUUUUUGCAAACCGAUCAAGAAGAUUGUUCCGAAGAAGAUCAAGAUGGGCUGCGUUGGUAUUCCGGCGGGCGGCGGUGGGUGGUGGAGAAGCUGAAGAAGGCGAGAGAAAUAUCCGAGUUGGUUGCAGGCCCCAAGUGGAAAAAUUUCAUUCGAAGAUUUAGCAGACCAGCCUUUGGGUCUUCGAAUUCUAAGAAGAGGACCAAGUUUCAAUACGACCCUCAGAGCUACGCGCUUAACUUCGAUGACGGCGAUGCCACCGACGACUGCGGAUACCCGGAUUUCUCGGCCAGAUUCUCCGCUCCUGGGCAGUCUUGAAACCUGUGUAUCUGUUUACCAUUAUUCUUUUCUAUUGAGCUGUAAUUAUAUUGUCUAUAAUUAGAAUUGAAGUUGGAUGAACAUGCAUGAAUCUCCAAUACUCAUUCUUUGAAUUGGGUUGUUGUCAAAGUGACUGAUUUGUUAUUCGUGGCUCUAAAAUUCGGAAAUAUCACCUUAAAAGUACACAAUAAUUACCUUUGGCAAUUUCUCUUUAAGAAUGGAAACCUUAACCAAUUAUAAUUUUU